AGUAAAAGGAGCAUACUUUGAAAUAUGGUAUCGUCUUGUGAGCAAAGAAAAGAGAUUGUAAGUAGGAAUUUGAAGCAUUGCUGCUCUCGUUUAUGUUGCUUUGCUUGUCAAUCAUUUGUUGACUGCUUGCUUGUUUGAUCACACUUAUUUUCAAGUAUUAUUUGUCAUAAUACUUGAAAACUUUGUGGACUUUUGUUGAAACUCAAGGCAACUGCUGAGCCACUUUGAGCCCGUUUGGCUCUGCGGCUGCAUUUUAUUUAAAACGCAGUUCGCAACUAUUUGGUUAAGGAAAAAAUCAAUUUAUUGUUCAUUGGGCCCCACUUAAUUUCUGCGUUAAAAACACAGGAAAAGAAAAGCAGCCAUUUCUUACUCUCUUUUUUCACUGUUCAUGUUAAUUGCACUGUUUAUUGGACAGUGCAAUUAACAUGAACAGUGUAUAGUGCACACUGUUCACUUAAAAAAUCGUGAACAGUGCAAUUAUCUUGCAUUGUUCACUUGCCUGCGUAAACUUUUUUUUUUUUUAGUGUGUUAUUUUUUAAACAUUUUUUUAAAAAAAAACUAGUUUAGAGUGAAUUUUAUACCUGAUAAUAUUUUAUUUAAUUUUAUUACAUGCUAAAAAUAUUAUGAAAACUGUAGUUUUUAUCGGAUAUAUUUCGUACGUAAUGGAAUUAUAAAUGGUUUAAUGGAAUAAUAAAAAAUAUUUUAUAUAAAGUAUGAUUUAUUUCAUGAUAUAAUAGCAAUAAUUAAAUCCACAAUAUUUAAAUUAAAAAUCAUCAGUAUUAAUAUAUAUUUUUAAAAUUAUUUUAUAACCUCAAUUUUAAAAGUAUUCUUAACCAAACACAUUAAACUAUUUUUUCUUCAACUUCAAUUUCAAUCACAGUUUUAACCAAAUACCUAUUUUUUCAAAUCAACCUCAACUAAAAGUACUUUUUAUAAAACAAUUUUUUUCAAAUCACAACAACAACAGCUACCGCAAUACCAAACACACUCUUUUUAUACGAGGUGUGCUCAAUAAGUAAGCAUAGAGGCCCAUUCCUCCUCGUGUCUGGUCUUCUUUGUCCAGCUCUCAAUUAUGUACUCAUAUUUGACUACAAGGCUGCUGGCAUGGUAUCUUUAUAUUAACACGAAAACAUUGUUUUUCAUGGGUUUUUCUACCCAGUUCUCAAUAAAUUAGGCCUAUGUUAUGUAGCGAGUACUUUGCUAAUCGGUACUUUGCUAAAGUCACAACAACCACAUGCGAGUGAUGUUGAAAUUGAAAAAUUAUGAGAAGAGAUCUUUCCAAAUUGGUUAAAAAAUAAUGUAAGUAUUUUAAUAAAAUUAAUUUAUAUUUUAUGUCAAUUAGUUACUUUAAAAACAUUACUAAUCUCUUUUAAAUCACUAUUUUUUAUGAAGUUAACUAUUAUGCUAGGUGGAAUACCAAUGUAACAUAAUUGAAAAUUAACUCUUUGGACUUGCUAUGGGCCCUUCAACUUCAGUGAAAUGUUAUAAUGGGUAUUAUGUGAAUGGUUUUAAAUUUCAUACUCAAAGUUAUGGGCGUUUUAAAAAGACAAUGAAUAGUGGAGUUUGUGUGAAGGGAAGUUGUUAUGAUGAUAAUGAACGUGAUUAUUAUGGAAUGCUUAAAGAAGUUGUUCGGCUUAAAAACUUGGGGAGUAAGUGCAAGUUAUUUAUGUUUAAAUGUAAUUGGUAUUAUUAGAGUGCAUCGUUCGAAUGGUUUGAUUGAAAUCAAGCACACAUCUCAACUACACGGAAAUGAAGAUUUUGUGUUAGCACAACAAUGUCAACAAGUCUACUAUACAUAUCCACUUGGUAAUAAAUCAUCUGAAUGGUGGACGGUUAUUAAGACAACUGCUAGAAGUCGUUAUAAUGUUGACAUGGGUGAAUUUAUUGAAGAUGCCAACAAUGUGAGAUCAUUUGAUGUUGAUCAAUCAGAUGAGAUUUAUCAACCAUGUCGUGUCCUUCCUACCCAAACACUUGAUGAUCAAAAUAUACUUGUUGAAUCAUCUUAUUAUGAAGAAAUCAACAUGAAUUGAUUCAACUUGACAUAAAUUGGGGAAACAAUGAAAAGAAGAAGAAAAAGAUGAGAGAAUGAUGAUGGUGAUGAGGAUGAUUGAGGUGAUGAGAGAAAAAACAUGAUUGUUGUGAUGAUUGAGGUUAGGAGUGAUGAUAAUAAUGAGUAGCACAAGUUAAUUAUAUUUCGUAGUAUAUGUAAUGAAUUAUCUUUAUUAUAUGUAUGGAUGAUUUCAUAUUAUUUGACAAUUUAUUUAGGCUUUCAAUGUUUUUUUAUUAUUUUAUUGAAGUGUGUGUUAUGCAUCACAUUACAUAUCAUUUUCAUUGACCUUUGAAACCAUUUAUAACCUUUCAAGUAUCAAUCUUUAAAUUGUGAUUCUGAUGUUAUAGUUUAUUUGUGAUUUGUCUUCUUUUUGAUAGAUGCUGGAGCAUGAAUGAAAGGGUUCUCCUACUCAAUGUUUGGAUUUAUAGGAAAAACAUUAAGGUAAGCAUACUCAUAAAUUUUGAUUUUGCUUAAUUAAUUAUUUAGAUUUUUAUUUUUUAUUGUUUGUGUUAAUUGGCUUUUGACAAUUUAAACUUCAUGGCUGAUUUUUAUUAUUGCAAGGAAUGCUUAAUGAAAUGGUCUUGAUGUUAUUUAUAUAUUUGUUUUUAUUAUAGUAAUUAUUUUAUUUGAAGUAUAAUAUUUUUUGAAGUUAUGGCUAUUAAGUGGACAAUCCAUACUGAUUUUGAAAAUCAUAAACUGGAUAUUGUUUGUAAUGAAUUGAAAAACAAAUGAGAUUUAACAGUUUGUUUUCAUUCUAGUUAUGGCAGUCUUGGGAAAAUAUCUGUGAAUUUUUUGUUCUUGAUAGUUUAACUAUGAGCUAAUUUAUUAUUAUGCUGUAUAUAUUCAUAUGAUAAUGUAUAUGUUUUUUCUGGUUUUUAGCAUGCCUCGACGAGGAUCCAUAUUAGAUUCUAGGAGUGACAGGUCCACUUCAGAUUAUGGGAGGGUUGAAUUCUAGGUCCACUUCAAGGAGUGACAGGUCCACUUCAUCCAAAUCAUUUCAAACUACAUCAAGGCAUAAUAACAAAGGAUCCACAUCUCAUCAACCUGUGUAUCAAAACGCAAAUGAGUAUUAUAUACCUACUUUUGGGAGUACACAUCCUCCUCAACAUGAUUAUGGGAGGAUUGAAGCAUAUCAAUAUUGUGAGGGCUUUCGGUUCCAAGAUUUGCUUCAAACUCAAGGAGGUUUCCCUCAAGAUAACCAACUUGUUUAUGGAGGACGUAAUUCAUAUAUGAGUUAUGGGAGAGUUGAUGGUGAUGAUGGUGAUGGUGAUGAUGUGAACAUUAGAGAUGAAGAUGAGGGAGACGGUAGUAAUGAGAGAGGUGUAUGUGAUGAGGAUCCAGAUGGUGUGCCAUCAAACCACGGUUCAACAUCUUCUCUAUACAAUUAUGAUCAAAAUAUUAAAAUGAAGGGUUUUGACACACCAAUAGAUCCAAUUACAAGAAAAAAAAAGCUUUGUUUGUUUGAGACUCAGUUAACCACUGAGCCACUUUAUGUGAGGUUUGCUUAAUAAGUAAGCAUAGAGGGCCAUUCCUCCUCGUGUCUGGUCUUCUUUAUCCAGCUCUCAAUUAUGUACUCAUAUUUGACUAGAAUCACAACAAGGCUGCUGGCAUGGUAUCUUCAUAUUAACACGAAAACAUUGUUUUUCAUGGGUUUUUCUACCCAGUUCUCAGUAAACCAGGCCUAUGUUAUGUAGUGAGUACUUUGCUAAUCAGUAUACUUCCAUGAUAGGUUUCCAUGCAAAUAGCUUGACUCGUAGCUUGAUCUGGGCUAGUUUUCAAGUUGAAUUGAAACGAACUUUAGCAUAAAUGGCUCGGUUGAAUUCACACGCGAUAAUCUAAUGAUCCAAACUAGAUUUGAUAAUUAUACUUCUCGUGCUAUUAUAUCUAGUUCGAUCUCCAGGGGGGAAAAUGCUAACUUUAAAAGAUUAUAGUAUGAUGGUUAUUAAGAAUGUUUACUAUAUUUUUGGAUUUAAACUUUAGCAACAACGUCCAAAAAAACAAUUAGAUCUGUUAAUAUAUGUAUUAGGCUGGCAUGGGAGUGCGAUGUAAAUACUACAAAAACACCUUGGAUCAAAGAGGAAUUCUUUAAUAGCAGCUUGUUAUCACAUGCUUAGCAAGAUUGCAAGCUACGAAAAACAAGUAGUAGAUUUUUCUCAGCCUUAAUUCACACGAUUGAGAUCAAGUAGAAGCAUUAAUUUCUCCUCGUUUUUCUUCUUGAAGCAGAUAAUCAUAUUUGGUUUAUUGAUAAAAAGAGAAGAUAUGUUUUUUUUAUUGUUGUUAUAUGUUUUAUAUUUUUUUUUGAGAUCAAGUAUAUAAGCUGGAAACUCGUGAUAAAAUCUUAAGAUUAUUCUUAGAUGUAACAAAGCCAUGUACUGAUCUUUGUUUUAUAUUUAUAUUUUUAUAAAUAUUUUUUGUGUUUUAAAAUCUAUUUUUAUAUUCCAAGAUAUAUAUAUUUAAUCACAUUUCUAAUAAUAUUGAUUUUUUUUUUUGAAAUAAUAAUGACAAACCUUGCAAACUUGAGUUCGUGACAUUUUGAUAUUACGGUAAAAGUCUUUUUGGUGCGUUUUGAUUUUUGUCAAGAAGGAUAGAUUGGAAGUAUCCAUUAAUUUUGUGUAUUCUAAUAUAAUCGUCUGUUAAGCUUGGCUUAACAAAAUUAAUGAAGUAGAAGGAAAACAGAGAAAUGAGAGAAGAAUGAUUCUGUUAUUUCUUGCGUGACUCUUACAUAAUCCUCCUAUGUACCAUUAUAUACUUAAACGAUUUAUUAUAUUGUAAACUAACUCUAACCGUAUUAAGGAAAAAGACCCUAUACAAUGUAAUAGUUAUAGUAUGUAAUACAUCCCACCAUUAUAUUGUACACAACCCUACAAGUAUAAAUACAAAGGAUGGCUGCUACCCUUAUGCAACCAACACAAUUAAACACAAAAUUAUCUCUCAAUUAAUCUUAACUUGGUAUCAGAGCUGCGUUAAUUGUUCAACAGCCUUCUUCCGCAACAACUGCAACUCUCCUGCGUAGCUGUUUCAACCAGCAGCCAUCCUCCUUUUUAGCAGUCGUUCUUCCUCUAUUAGAUUCACAAGCAGCAGUUUCAGUUUCUCCUUAGCAUAGAUCACUCAUCUUCUUCCUCUGUCACUUCUCAUGAAAUAAAAACUGCAACUUCUCCUCCCUAGCAACAUGGACAAUCAAGAACUUCAACAGUCUGCUGGCUCUGCAUCAGCUCUUCAAUCUUCUUUCUCCCUUGUGGCACAAUCAGUUAUGUAUGGGGCAUCGCCUACUGGCUCCAUUAUUCCUCUUCCUAACACACACCAGGUAGUCUCUUUAAAACUCUCCAACCAUAAUUUCCUGUAUUGGAGGAUGCAGAUGAAACCUUUUCUCUUGGGACAAGGCGUUUAUUCAUUUGUUGAUGGCACAUCACCAUGUCCUCCUUCACAUUUGGCAUCUGCUGAGACACCUACACUCUCUGUCAACCCUGCAUAUUUGUCAUGGAAGCAGCAAGAUCACCUAAUCAUGAGUGCCUUCUUAUCUUCUCUCUCGGUGGAAGUUAUGCACUUACUUGUAGAUUGUAACACUUCCCAUGCCAACUAGACAACGCUAGAAACAACUCUUGCCUCUCCCUCAAAUUCCAGGAUUAUGCAACUCCACGGAUCAUUCUGGGAUUUACGACAAAAUGAUGAUUCUACCAGCAUUUACUUGAAGGCUAAGGCCUUGUUUGAUGAACUGGUUGCCGCUGGCAGACCAAUCUCCCUGGCAGAAUUUAACUUGUAUGUUUUUCGUGGAUUGCGUAGUGAGUUUAAGGAUCUUGUCACCAGCUUGUCCACUAAGGAUGCUGCUAUCAGCUAUACUGAUCUCUAUAGCAGCCUUCUUACACAUGAGUUCCUUCACAAAGCCUCUCUCCAGCCAUCUGGAACAACCCCUCUGUUACCAACUCCAACGCAGCAGCCAGCUGUGUUCUUUGUGCAGCAUCAAUUUGGCAGACGGGGUUGUUUUCGUGGGGGCUGGAGACCUAACAAUCAUAGCAAUUUUUAUCGUGGCAAUGGUUAUGCUUCAGGACAACAAUAUAGCCCACAUGGAAACCGAUUCUCAUCUGGCACUUCUUCACGGCCAACAGGUAGUUUUGGGCAGCAAGGAAAUCGCUUUGGUGGCUAUCCUCGCAAUAUAAAAUGCCAGAUGUGUUCUCAGUUGGCUACUCAUCAUAUGCAUGCUAAUGCUAAUCUUGCAUUUAAUAUUGCCUCUUCCACCACUCCUGUUACUUGGUUUCCUGAUACAAGUGCAAAUCAUCAUGUCACGCUGGACCUUGUAAGUAUGACGAGUUCAGAACCUUAUAUUGGAAAUGAUCAUCUGCAUGUUGGUGAUGGUAAGGGCCUUGUUAUCUCAAAUAUUGCUCACUCUAAAAUUCGCUCACCAAACCACAUGUUUACUUUAUCCAAUAUCUUACAUGUUUUUACCAUUAAAAAACCUCUGCUAUCUGUUCAAAAAUUUUUUCUUGAGAAUAACGUGUUGUUUGAAUUUCAUUCCUCUCUAUUUUAUGUUAAAGAUCUCAUGACAAAUGAAGUUCUUCUUUCUGGUCAGAGUAGAGAUGGCCUAUAUGUUUUGUCCACGUCGUCUGCAACGUCGUUGCCUCGAGCUUUUUCCUCUACCUGUCUAUCUACUUCAGCUGAUGUCUGGCAUCGUCGCCUUGGACAUCCUAGUCCAUGUAUUCUGCAUUUGCUGGUGAAAAAUAAAAAAAGGGUCAUGUAUGUCCACUCAGUUUAAUUUUCAGUGUCCCACGUGCCCUCUGGGCAAGUCAUCGCGUCUGACUCUAAAAACUACGGGUCAUCAAACUCGAGCUCCUUUUGACUUGAUUUUUAGUGAUGUUUGGGGUCCAUCCCCUAUGUUAUCAUUUGAUGGUUUUUUGCUAUUUUGUUAUUUUUGUGAAUGCUCGUACAAAGUUUAUAUGGUUUUAUCCCUUGGUUGCCAAGUCUGAUUUUUUUGCAAUUUUUCAUCAGUUUCAGGCGCUUGUGGAGCGCCAAUUCUCCUUAAAAAUUAAGUUCAUACAAACCAAUUGGGGUGGUGAAUAUCGAAAACUAAAUACAUAUUUUAAAAUGAUUGGUAUUCAUCAUCGUGUGAUCUGCCCACACACUCAUUGUUGUAACUCAUUUUUGGGUCUUCACCUAAAACUACAAAAAAAUUCAAAAAAAAUACAUUUAUAAAAAAAAAUAUAACAGAAAGAAAAAUGCCAGAGCGCCUUAAAAAUGUUUAAAAAUUGAUUGAGGAUGUGCAAAAAAAUAAAAAUAAAAAUUUGACAGUAUAUCAUUGACUGAUGCGAGCCCUAAUGAUAAAGAAAAUUCAAUUUGAGGAAGAAAAAUGCAAAAUUAGAAGUUUAUGGACUCAAUUAAAUUUUAUUGAAGGUUUAAUUGAAUUUAUAGAGGUUUUACUUGCAAAAACAAUUGAUUUUGGAGUUAUUUUGGGCUUUAAUUGGAAGAAAUUAAUUUUCUGGGGUCAAAUUAUAAUUUUUAGAAGUUAAUUUGGUCAAAUCAGGGGCUUAAUUGCAUAAAAAAUGAAGUUUAAUGGCCAAUUAGGGACUAAAUUGAAGAAAUCCGAGACCAAGGACGAAAUUGUAAAACGCGCGCAAUUUGAGGGCCUUCUUUGAAAUCUGACGCAUUUUGGCGCCUUUUUCUUUUAAAUGAAACGGCGCGUUUUGACCAAAACGGCGUCGUUUCAUUCACUGUUGCAAAAAAAAAAAAAAAAAAAAAAAAAAACAGAAGCCCAAAACGGCGCCGUUUUGACGGCACUGUAGGUCUUCUUCUUCCCCUGGACGCGCGAGGCAGGGGAAGAAGAAGAUUUUUCUUCUCCCUUUUCGCCUAACUUCUUUCCCCAUUUCUACGCAAUAAGACGCCCACCAUUCGACGCCCACUUGCCUCCUUUUUAUCCGUUGAACGGCUAGUGGAGGGGCGGCCAACAGUGGCCGCCCCACCACCAUUGUCCCCCCUGUUUUUGCCUAUAAAAACAGGGGAGGACCGAACAAAAAAAAAAAAAAAAAGAGAAGGGAGAGGGAAGAGAGAAGAGAAGAGAAGAGAAAGAAGAGAGGAAAAGAAAAGAAAAGAAAAGAAAAAAACAGAAACAGAAGAAGAAAGAAAGAAGCAGGGGAGAAGAGAGAAGAAAUCGUCGCCUCUGCCACCCUUCGAUCACCAGCAGCACCGCCGGCCACCGCUCCAGUUGGAAGCUCCACCGCGUCAGGUAACCUCCUGCUCCCUCGCCAUCACUUUUUUUUUUCUUCUCGCCCUCGCUGUCCCUGCCUGCACUUGCAUGCAGAACGUGAAUAAUUCACGUUCUGCUGCAAAAUGCAGCGUGGGCUGGUUACUGUGCUGAUGCACAGUAACCAGCCCAUUUGGGCCUGGGCUGGGCCGUUCAGCCCAGCCCCUGUAAACGGGCUUGGUUGGCCCAGCCCAUGCAUUUGGGCUGGGUCCGGCCCAUGUUUUUAUUUAUUUAUUUAUUUAUUAUUAUUAUUAUUAUUAUUAUUAUUAUUUUGUUUGUUAUUAUUUAUAUUUUUAUUUUUUUUUAAAAAGACACAUUUUCUUCUAUCAUUUUACUGUUCAUACGGUACUGUUCAUCCGGCCCAUAAAAAAGGAAAAAAUCAAAAAUACUUGUUUUAUUUAUAAUUUUUCCCCGUAUUUUUUAUGUCAUUUUUAUGUAAUAUGGGACAAUAUUCCUAUGUCGUAAAAUACAAAUCCGGUACUGAAAUACCCGGUUUUCGACUUUCAAGAAUACAAAAACAAAUAAAAAAAAAAUGUUUUUUUGUGCAUACGGCCAAAUGUCUCAAAAAAAAAAAUCAUUUUGUAUUUUUCAUACAAAAAAAAAAUCAAUGUUUUAGCAUGCAUUUUGGCUUUAAUAACCAGUUUAUUAAAGUCAAGAGAAUAUUGGCCAAAAUUUCAAAAAAACAACAAAAAUUUUAUUUUGUUUAUCUUUUAAUAUCCGGGGUAUGACAUUAUACGUAAUACAUAUUCCGGAUAUUUAUUUAAUUUUUAUAUAUUUUUUUUAUAUAGAACUUGGGAUAUGACAUUACAUGUAAUGCGUAUUCCGAACAAUAAAACACGACCUUAGAUGUUAUCAGACAUUAAAACAAUGCAGCCUACCUUAGGUAGGGCGUAGUUGGGGUGCUAAUACCUUCCCUUUACGCAACUAGUCUCCGUACCCGAUCUCUAAAGACCAGUUAAGGUUCCUAGUAACCAGAAUACUAGGUGGCGACUUCCAGUCCAUAUUUUCACUUAUAGAGACAAGAAUUCCUUGUCUCUCCUUUUUUUGUUGGGAAUAAAUAUUUCCGAUUUUUUUUUCCUUGAGGGUGGACGAUCGUCGCGCCGCCGCACACGUGCGACACUCAUGAACAAAAUGGCAUGGUUGAACGCCGUCAUAGACAUAUUGUUGAAAUUGGACUCACUCUCCUUGGGUAGUGUCAUGCUUCCCUUAAAUAUUGGAGUUAUGCUUUUGAAAGUUCUGUUUAUUUGAUUAAUCGUAUGCCCACUCCAGUUCUUAAUAAUAAGACAUCGUUUGAAUGUCUUCUAAAAUCGACUCCUGAUUAUGUGUUUCUUCGUACUUUCAGGUGUCUCUGCUUUCCUUUUCUUCCUCCAUACAAUGCUCAUAAAUUAGAUUUUCGGUCCACUUCUUGUGUUUUUCUAGGAUAUAGUACCUCGCAUGUCGGUUAUCGAUGUCUUGAUUUGUCAUCCAAACAAAUUUAUCUUGCACGUCAUGUCCGGUUUCAUGAAACUGUUUUUCCUCUUAAUAAAACUGAACAGAUUGCAGCAACACCCAACCAGCCCUCUGCUCCCUCUAUACCCAUCACUUUACAUCCUCUCAUGCAACCCUCUUCAGUCCCUUCACCACUGCCCCAUACACUGCCUACACCUUCUUCGGCUCGUUUACCAUUAUCUACAUGUUAUUAUGAUCAUUCUUCAAUUGCAGGUUCAGAUUCGUCACACUCACAGGCGUCGUCUGAUGCUGCUGCCAGCUCCCCUGGUUUCUCCCCUGUUCGCUUCCUUGUUGUGGGUGCUUCUUCUGCUGGGUCUCUCUCACGGUCUGCGCUUAUAUUGAGUUCUUCACCCACAAGUUCUUUCUCUCUUUCCCCUCUUGGAAUUAACGUAUGUGUUGAUCUAUCUAAGUUCAAUCUUCAGCACGUCCCUGCCGCUAUCUCCUCUCCAUCUUAGCGGGCUUGCACCCAUCCAUUGGUGCUUCGCCCACGGCCAGAAAAAAAUGCUAAUCUUAGCAUUGUGGCUGUCUCACGAGUCACGACCUUACCUCAGUAGGAGCCAUUGCCAUUUAAGGACGUAAACAAGUAUGUGACUUGGGACACUGCCAUGCAGGAGGAACUUCGAGCACUUCACUCUAAUCAGACUUGGACGUUGGUGCCUCCCCAUCCAACUAUGAAUGUGAUUGGCAGUAGAUGGGUUUACAAGAUAAAAAGACAUGCUAAUGGUUAGGUCGCCCGAUAUAAAGCACGGUUAGUUGCUCGCGGCUUAACUCAGCAAGAAGGGAUUGAUUAUUUAGAGACGUUCAGUCCAGUGAUCAAGCCUACAACGGUUCGCCUUGUGCUCACUAUUGUUGUCUCAUAUGGUUGGACCAUUCAUCAGUUGGAUGUUCAUAAUGCUUUCCUAAAUGGCAUUCUUCAGGAAGAGGUAUACAUGGCGCAAUCGCCUGGGUUUGUUGAUCCUACACUCCCAUCUCAUGUGUGUUGUCUCUAUAAAUCUCUAUAUGGUUUGAAACAAGCCGCUCGUGCUUGGUACAACCGGUUGAGUGAGUUCUUACUCUCCAUUGGAUUUCAGGCAUCCAAGGGUGAUACUUCUCUAUUUAUUCUCUCUCAAGAUGGUGCCAUGAUUUACCUGCUUGUGUAUGUUGAUGAUAUUUUAUUAACCGGGAGUAACUCAGCUAUGCUUUAUAGAUUGAUUAUUUUGCUGCAAUCAGAAUUAAGCUUCUGGAUUUGGGUUUUGUUCAUUUCUUCUUGGGUAUUGAAGUUAAACCUACUGCUAUGGGUAUCUUAUUAAGCCAACAUAAGUAUGUUCUUGAUAUCAUCCAACGAGCAGGUAUGACUUCGUGCAAACCAGUUGAUACUCCUCUAUCUGCCUCCUCCAAAUUAGGACUCAUACCGGGUACUCUCUACUCUGAUCCCACACGGUAUCGACAAAUUGUUGGGGCAUUACAAUAUCUUACCUUCACUAGACCUGAUAUCUGCUAUGCGGUCAACAAGGUCUGUCAAUUUAUGCAUGCCCCCACUGAGGAUCAUUGGUUUGCUGUCAAACGCAUCCUGCGUUACCUCCAGGCUACAGCAACUUAUGGCCUGCACAUCACUAGGGAUUCUCCUCUGUCUCUUCAUGGUUUCACAGAUGCUGAUUGGGCAGGUAGUAUUGAUGAUCGAAAAUCCACAGGUGGUUACCUUGUGUACCUUGGCUCUACCCCUAUCUCUUGGAAAUCCGGGAAACAACGCACUGUUGCGAGAUCCUCCACUGAAGCGGAAUACAAAGCCUUAGCUGAUGGUACUGCUGAGAUUUUGUGGAUUCACUCAUUAUUGACAGAACUUCGGAUUCCUUCUUCGACUGUGACCACGUUAUGGUGUGAUAAUUUAGGGGCCACCUUCUUAUCUGCAAAUCCAGUAUUUCACGCUCGUACUAAACAUGUUGAAGUUGAUUAUCACUUUGUCCGUGAUCGUGUUACUAAGCAAGAAAUUCAGGUACGGUUUAUAUCUUCCAAAGAUCAACUAGUUGAUGUCCUUACCAAGCCUCUUCCUCAAGUCUCGUUUGCUUACUUUCGAUCCAAGCUUCGGGUGGAAUCUCCACCUUCAGCUUGACGGGGUGUAUCAAGGAAAGAGACCCUAUACAAUGUAAACACUCUUAUAUAGUAAUAGUUAUACUAUGUAAUACAUCCCACCAUUAUAUUGUACACAACCCUACAAAUAUAAAUACAAAGGAUGGCUGCUACCCUUAUGCAACCAACACAAUUAAACACAAAACUAUCUCUCAAUUAAUCUUAACUAACCGACUCCUACCCUAAUUAAUAUGCACUAGCAGUUCUCCAACUUGUUGUGUAAACUACUUUGCUUUUUCUUUAUAGACAUGCAUCAACUUGUUGUGUUCUGAACAAUUUAUUUGAUCUUGUGGAAUAAAAAAGUUUCUUCCUUGACUUUUUUAAUAGAUUGAAGUGAUUUGCCGACAGUUUCAUCAUCCACCUCACUUCUUUUUCUUCGUAGACUUGUGAAGUCAAGAUUCCCGAAGAUCAAUAUCAUCAAUUAAUUGUUGCUAAUUUUGUUGAAGAAAGAAAUAUUUGUUAGUCUGAUUUACUUCCAUAUUAAUUAUUGUUGGAUUCUUAAUCUGAAUUUUAGAGUGGUUCUAACUUCUUAAUCUGAAUUGAUGGAUUUCUUAAUUAUUGUUAAUACGAUUCGAUAUGUAACUAGUGUAUUUAUAUACCUUUUUUCUCAACCAAAUCCUUCAACUCCAUAAUAUUUGACAAAAAUAAAAAUACAAACCCAUUAAUUCUCUGUGGUAAAAAUCCGUCGAUAAAUAUAAAGAUUGUGGUAAUGACAGAGAUUCCUCAAAAGAAGUAAUGGAUGCUUGUUUGUUUAGUUAGUAAGUUAUUUUUAGACUUAAGAUAAUUAAAAUAUUUUAUAAAUAGAGUCUUGUGUUUUGAUCCUACUACAUGUUGUCCUAAUCUAGGGUAACGGAUGAAUAGAUAUUCGUUAUAACAUGAAUUAUAUGAAGAUAUUUUAAUAAUCAAGAGAAGAUUCAUCACCAUAGGUGAAUUAGAGAAAAUAUUUCAUAUAUUCACAAAUAAUAUUGAUUGUAAAUUCUUGCGAAAGGUAGAAUGAGAUUUGAAAAGAGUUUUAAAUCUUAUUUUGUAACAUAGUAUAAAAAUGGGACAACAUUACAAUUACUAUAGUGAAACAUCAUUUCUUUUUAUUAUUUGUAUAAUAAUUUUCAAAAAAAAAAAGUGUAAGGGAAAAAAUAUAAAAAAAAUUACAAAAUAAUGAAGAUAAAAACACAAAGAAAUGUUUAUAAAUUAAAUAGGCCAAAUUUAAAGUGUUAAAUAUGCCAAGUAUAAAGAGGGAAAAAAUCUAACAAAAAUAUGUCUAAAAAACCCAAAAAAACAUAUAUUUGUCAUCACUACAAUACCCACUACAACAAAAAAAGAAAAAAAAUAUAUAUUUGUAUCAUUUCUAUUAGAAUUUACCAUUUCCUUUUACUUUUUAGUACGUGUAUAAUUUUUCUUGGAUAAAAAGAUUAAAAUAAUAAUAAUGAUUGAUUUAUUUUUCACUUAAAAACACCACAACACUCCCCCAAAUCAUAUAAUAACCUAAAAAAACCCUCAAAAUCAUUUAAAAAACUACAAAUUAAAAAAAUUAAAAUUCUUCAAACGAAGCUCAAUCUCCUUCUAAAAAAUAUUUAAAUAAAAUAAUAAUCACUAUCAAACUUUCAUUAUCAAAUAAAAACAUCAAGUAAAUAAUAAUCGCUAAUUUUAUAAGUGUCAUCUCUAAAAAGUAGCGCAAAUGAUUAUUAUUUUUUUCUCUUUUAAAGCGACUUUCUUUCUUCUCUUAAAUACAAUAAUUCAAAAUUAAAUAAAAUAAAUUUUUGGAUUAAAAUAAAAAUUCUCAUAAAUUUUAUGUGAGGCAAGUAAUUAUUUUUCUAGUUUUACUUUUCAGUCCUCUUUCUUUAAGUUUUUUUUUUUAUGAUAAUUUGAACCUAAUUCAAUUUAAUUCGGUGUGAAAUUGAAAGGAAAAAAAGGUUAAAAUAAAACAACAAGCAAAAUUAAACUGGCCCAUGUCUUUGCUAAUAUUAAAGUACUAUGCUCUUCACUGUGUUUAAUUUAUAAUUUUAUAGAGGUCAAAGUCUGUUUAUAUUUUAAUUGUAUGAACGGUCCAAGACGACCACUACCUUGAUUUUGUAAUUGCUGCAAAGUCGUAAAAGCUGCCUUCACUUUCAUUGGUGGGUACCCCUUUUGUGCAUUUUUAUAAAAUUCAAAGUUGGCUUCCCCUUUUCUUUGGUGGGAACUCCUCUUGUAAUUUCCUAAUGCUUCAGUAGUAACCAUGCCAUAAUUAAUUCGUAGACUUGACCUAUGAUCGGCCACUUUCGUAUUGAAUGAGGAUGGACCCUGUUUAUAUAAAUAUCCAGUUUAAUUAAUUCAUAUGGUUAAUUACUGUUUUUUAUAAAUAAAAUUACUGAGAUUAAAAAGUUGUUAGUGUUAUUUAAUGAUUUUCUAAAAAAUUUAAAUAAAAUUAAAAUUUUAAAUUAAAUAUUAUAUACGGAAUGAUUACCAAAUUAAAAAAUUAAAAAGUGAUCGUUGAUAUUUUGUAAUUGCUUUCACUUUCGUUGGUGCGAACUCAUGUAAUUUCCUAAUGCUUCAGUAGUAACCAUGCAAUUAUUAAUUCGUCGACUUGACCCAUGAUCGAUCCCCUUUUGUAUUGAAUGAGGAUGGACCCAGUUUAUAAAAGAGUAUUGUUCUCAAGACCACAUAAUAUAUAUAUAUAUAUAUAUAUAUAUAUAUAUAUAUAUGUAUAUGUGUGUGUGUGUGUGCAGGCAGAGUAACAAAACAAAACCAUUAUUUUAUGUUGAGUGGAAUAUCAAAGCACCUUUUCGGUGCAUACCCAGCCCUUCUUCUUCUAGUCAUCCUAGUCGGUCACCAGAGUUGCAGUGCUAGAAAGAACAGUGUUUAAGCUACUUUGCUUCUUUUUUGUUUUGCAUAGACUUGGGAAGUCAUUUGUUCAAAUAAUUGAUUUUUCGACAAGUCUCUUAAUCUCAUCAUCUUUUAUCUUUAAAAUGUAAAACCCAACCAUAAUUUAUCUUUGACAUUUCAAGCAACUUGUUGUCGAUCAUCUUUUCAUGGAUCCUACAAUUAUUUUCAUUAGUCUAUUAUUUGUUGUUGUUUUUCUUCAGCCUUGUGGAACGGGAUGUCCAUCAACUUGUUGUUUAAGCUACUUUGCUUCUUCUUUUUUCAUAGACUUGGAAAGUCAUUCCGACAAGUCUCUUAAUCUUAUCAUCCAGACAAGUCAUCAACUCAAGGAUUAUAAUCUCUUCUCAUUUGUUUUUUGAUUAGGCCCUAAUAACAUUAAGAUAUAUUCCAGUUUUGAUCAUUUCUUAGGGAAUAGGUUAAAAAAAAUACCCUAAAAUUUGGAUCGAUAUGAGAUUAGAAAUUUAGAUAAAACAUGGAUGUGUUUGAAUGAAGAAAUUUAGGGCAGAGAUGUCGUAUACAGACAGAGUAUGCCAAGAACCAGUAAGUUACUAUUUUUUUAUUUUCACCAGUAAGUUAUCCUAGUGCUUGCUAGGACUAGCCCAACAAACAGAUUAAAAGUAUGAAGUUUCACCAAUCUGUCAUCAGAGUCUGUAAAUAUUGUUACAGAUGAUUUAAGUUUGUUUGCCAAAUUUUUCAAGAACAUGUUUGUCUUUGAUGGCUUAUUGUCAUAGCUGUUAACUCUGAAGAAAAAUGAUCUUAGAAACCAAAGUCCUGCAAUGUAAUUCCAUGUUGUUCUCUUUUUUAGCUAAUCUUUCUGGGUAGGUUCUCUGGUUUGAGGCUGGUGCUGAAGAAAGGGGAAGCCGACGCUGCUACUUUUUAGUUUUCUCUGCUUCUUGGAUAUUCCUGGGCUGGGUUCCUUUGGCUCAGUCUCCUUCUUGCGUCUGUCUCUCUCUCUCUCUCUCUCUCUCUCUCCCUCUCUCUUUUUCACCAGUUUUUCCUCCCCGUUUGCGUCUUCGUCCUCCUGUGCUCCCUUCUAAGUUCUCUCCCCGUUUUUUCCCCCUGUUUAAGCUUUCUUGUACUGCUCGCUCUGCCUCUCUGUUUUCUCCUUCCCUUGGUUCUGCUUUUUUUCUCCUCUCUGUUCUGCUUUAUAGCCAGAGAAUGCCUCCAUAAUAAAGUGACUGUUAUUGCAGGAUUAAUGGCGAUGCAUCGUUGGGCAUCCGUUUUUUUGGGUCGGGCGAAGAAGAUGAACAGUGUUGAUGGCCAUUUGCGUUUUGGUCCUUGACUUUUGAAAGUUCUGCAAUCAAGCUCCCUGGAUAAACUUUAAUUGGACCCCUGGAUUUUAUCACCAUUUACAGAAUGGUCCUUAAACUUCAAUUUCUUGCAGUUUUAACCUGAAUCAGCCCCAAGCUUUAGUAUUUCUUCAAUUAAGCCCCUGAUUUCAUAAAUUAAACUAAUUCCAAGUUCAAUUAAGUCCAAAACUUAUCAAUUCUUCACUUAAGCUUUUAAUUUGGUUAAUAAAACUAAUUCAAAGUUUAAUUAAAUCCCAAAACUUCUAACCAUGUUGUCCUUACCCAAAAUUUAAUUCAUUCUUUAUUUAUUUCAUCAUUUUUUUAUUUGUUUUUUUCUAUUUUCAUCAUCAUUUUUUUUUCAUUUUUUAUUAUCAUGUUUCAGGAAAUAAAAUAAUAAUAACAAUAAUAAUUUUUAUUACCAAAGUCUUCUCGACGGACAAAAAAUUAUUAUUAAAAAAUUCACCGGCGGAGAAUUCCUGUAAGUGAUUUUGUUGGUAAAUUAAUUACCAAUGGAAUGAUAGUGCAAAUACCGAUGGAAAAAUCCAUCGAUAAAUAUAAAGAUUGUGGUAAUGACAGAGAUUCCUCAAAAGAAGUAAUGGAUGCUUGUUUGUUUAGUUAGUAAGUUAUUUUUAGACUUAAGAUAAUUAAAAUAUUUUAUAAACAGAGUCUUGUGUUUUGAUCCUACUACAUGUUGUCAUAAUCUAGGGUAACAGAUGAAUAAAUAUUUGUUAUAACAUGAGUUAUAUGAAGAUAUUUUAAUAAUCAAGAGAAGAUUCAUCACCAUAGGUAAAUUAGAGAAAAUAUUUCAUAUAUUCACAAAUAAUAUUGAUUGUAAAUUCUUGCGAAAGGUAGAAUGAGAUUUGAAAAGAGUUUUAAAUCUUAUUUUGUAACAUAGUAUAAAAAUGGGACAACAUUACAAUUACUAUAGUGAAACAUCAUUUCUUUUUAUUAUUUGUAUAAUAAUUUUAAAAAAAAAAGUGUAAGGGAAAAAAUAUAAAAACAAUUACAAAAUAAUGAAGAUAAAAACACAAAGAAAUGUUUAAGCUUUCUUGUACUGCUCGCUCUGCCUCUCUGUUUUCUCCUUCCCUCGGUUCUGCUUUUUUUCUCCUCUCUGUUCUGCUUUCUUUCUCUGGCUUUAUAGCCAGAGAAUGCCCCCGUUACCCAGGUAAUAAAGUGACUGUUAUUGCAGGAUUAAUGGCGAUGCAUCUUUGGGCAUCCGUUUUUUGGGUCGGGCGAAGAAGAUGAACAGUGUUGAUGGUCAUUUGUGUUUUGGUCCUUGACGUUUUGAAAGUUCUGCAAUCAAGCUCCCUAGAUUAAACUUUAAUUGGACACCUGGAUUUUAUCACCAUUUACAGAAUGGUCCUUAGACUUCAAUUUCUUGCAGUUUUAACCUGAAUCAGCCCCAAGCUUUUGUAUUUCUUCAAUCAAGUGUAAGGGAAAAAAUAUAAAAAAAUUAUAAAAUAAUGAAGAUAAAAACACAAAGAAAUGUUUAUAAAUUAAAUAGGCCAAAUUUAAAGUGUUAAAUAUACCAAGUGUCGCACCCGACAUCGCGACGACCCUAAAAAUAAUAAUUCUCGUUCAUGGAAAAAAGAACAGAUUCUGGCAUCCGGUUCUUUUAGAAAAAAUGUCUUGUUCGAGGAGUCGCCACCUAGUAUUAUGGUCACUAGGAACCCUAACUAGUCAAUAGAGAUUAUAUGGUUCAGGACUGGUUACAUAAAAGGGAAGAUAUUAUCGCCCCUUAAACGUUCUGCCUAAGGCAAACUGCAUUGCUGUUUUUGUCUUAAAUUGCUAAAUUUUAUUGGUUCAUGUUUUGACGAUUUAUUCACAAUAUUCCUGACUCUGGCGUUAGUGAAUGUUUAACAACGGAUAAUUCUAACUCUGGCGUUGGUAAUUAUUACGUAGUUAAUAAAAUAAAUUUAGAUUAAUAUUUUCUAUUUUUGACUCUAAAACUAGUGAAUAAACUAAAUGUACACAUUCACAUAUUUUUCUAUUUUUUUUUAUAUAAAUUAAAAAAAGGACAAAAUAAUAAUAAUAAUAAUAAUAAUAAUAAUAAAAUUAAAAUAAAAUAAAAUCAGUGUUUUUAUUGUAUUCCCGACUCUGGCGUCAGUGAAUAAAUAAGUAAAUAAAACAAAUUUAUUUUUUUUAUACAUGCACAUAUAUUUUGUUGCUAAAUAAAAAAACAUAAUGAAUAAAAAUAAUAUAAGCUCAAACCAGUAUUUUAUUCCCGACUCUGGCGUUGGUGAAUAAACCAGUAAAUUUAUAUUACUUUUAUUCAUGCAUACAAACAUUUUUUAUUUUUUUUAUUUUUUUUUCUCCUAUUUUUAUUCUAUUUUAUUUUUUUAUUUUUUUCUAUUUUUUUUAUUUUUUGGGGAUGGGCCCAGCUCAGCCCACAUGGGCUGGGCUAGACCCAGCCGGCCCAGCCCAGUCACUGGCCCAAGCCAGUGACCCGGCUGGGCCACAGCAGGCACGCAUGAUCUAAAUCACGCGUGCAUAGCCUGUAAUUAAGAAACAGCCGGUGCAACAACGAAAUGAAACGAAGCGGGGAAACAGAGCUGAAAACUUACCCGUUUCGUUUGCAGGGGAUUUGCAUGUGAUUGCUGAGGACGAAGCUUCUGCCUUCGAGUUUCUUCGUACUCCUUCUGUUCUUUCACGUUGUAUUCCUUUCCUGCUCCUCUGUUUCGGUUUGUUUUUCCUCGUCUCUUUUUACUCUGUUUUCUGAACAAAACCUCUCUCUCUCUCGGUCAGUUUCGUUUUUGUUGUUUUAAGCCUGUAUUGGUGAUGGAAGGCUUUGCUUCUGGCGUGGGGUUAUAAAGAAAAAGGUUAAAAAUCUUGCUGGUAAUAUGUGUGUCUCUCUCCUCUGGUUUUGUUCGUCUCUCUCUACAACUCUGCAACGGGUCGUAGGCUGAAGAACGACCACCAUUAAACGCUCAUAACUGAGGCCCCUCAAGUGUGGUAUUGCUUGAUUCAUCAUGAAGGAUUUUCUCUCUGGCUUCUUCUGAGAAUUAUCCUCUGAUUGAUUGUGUGUAUCAUGCCAACACCCAUCAAGAUUGUUAAUCAGUCAUGAACUUGCCUUCGGUUGAAACACCAUUCAAGUAUGUAUGGUCACCAGCCUUCAUGGAACUGCCAAGUCAUCCAGACAUGGAUCUCAUGCUUUGCAGUAAACAGCUCAUCAUUGUAAGCACGAUGUAUUUCUCUAUGGAUUCCUCUUAGCUUGUCAAAUCAGAUCAUGAAAAUAACUGCUUUGGCAUCAUCAAUGGUGUUCAUGUUAUCACCCAUAUUCAUGCGGUGAAGCGUGCAUUUGAGCUUCAGAAUAGAUGGUCCCAUAGUCAAUCUUGGUGGUAUGCAUAUGUUCGAUGUUCAUUCAAAUGCACUCACCCGAUAACAUCUGUCAGGAGUCAUAGCCAUGUUUUAUAGGGUAUCCCAAGAUGAAGAUAUGAAAAUAUCCUUCAAGUGCAGUGUUGCUCAUCAAUUGCUGCUGAAAUGCACUAGAUCAUGGAUUGUCUUUGAACAAUAUUGGCCCCAACAAUGAUAUGAAUGCUCGUUCAUCAGUUUAUACUAAAAAAGGUCUUUCUUUGUCAUUGUCAGAUGCUAAACAUAACUUUGAUGAACUUUGACGACUCAUCAUCUGAUUCUUUCUUUGCCCCCAGCUGAUCUGGAUACUGUCUGUUUUCCUUCUUAGGGUCCACUGUAUUGCCCCCAAGUGGUUAACCUUUCAAGGAGUUUUGAGAAGAGUUGAUGUCAUUUCAUGUCAAGGAUUCCGCAAACUCAAUAAAUGUUCUUCUUUGUUUGACAAUCUUUAUUGUUCUAGAAUCAAAUCUCAUACUUCAAAGGUCAUGUCUAUUCAAGUCUAAAUGUUGAAAUGAAAUCAGAGAGAUGUCUAUUUUUGAAAAAAUUUGAAAUUCAAACUUCUUUGGUCAAAGACCCAACACACGUCAUUCAAUGUAGUCCUUCGAUUGUCUUGUAUUUUGAAAACAGAAAUCGACCCGUUGUAAGAUUAAAAUGGUUUUUCCCAUGGUUCUUUCUAUCCACUUUAAACUCUGAUUUUGGGUAUAUCUUUUGAUGGUCUGUGAUGAGGUGACAUUUUUAUGAAUUUAAAAACAAGAUGUUCAGGCUUUAUCAAGAAAGGUUGUUUCUUUUCUUAGCAUUUAUUUUAUCAGCAUGCAUAAUAACCAGUAGCUUAAUUCAUGAAGUCACGACCCUUAUGGAAAAACUCUUCAAGUUUUGAGAGUGCCAUUUAUCGAUUCAAAUUGCUUGCUUGAUUAAAAAGGGCUUUUAAAAGCAUGUAAUGCAGGCUAUGGUUCAUGGCUAUGAAAGAAAAGAAUUUCAAAGGCUCAAAAGGUGUUUGAGGGUUUCAAAAAUCUAGGAUCAACAUUGAUUAUUCAUCAACUCGUUUUCUAUUCUUGUCUUUGUAGAGGAAACGACAUAGAACCUUGUUAACCUCAAAGAUCAGACUUCUAUUAACAUAAGUCAUAAUGCAAAUCCAACUUUCUUUGAGGAAUAACCAACCUUAAUCAUCUGAUAAUAUCAUAGGCUUUAUAAUGGAUACCAAAAGUCAACGCUUAUAGCUUAGUCUUCUUUUUUUUUCCUUUUGGUAUUGACUUUUGUUGUGUCUUUCCUUGAUUGAAAUUUCUUUUGCUCUUCCUAGACUUGAUAGGCAUUCUCCUUUUUUUUUUUUUAUUCCCUCUCUUUUUCUGUUUUUUUUUCUUUCUUUUUUUUGCUUUGCUUUCUCAUAGCCUUCCUCAAAAUUUCCUUAUAUGCCUAUAGUUUAUGUGUUUUCUUUUAGCUCUCUCUCAAUCAUUGGACUUUUGUUCUAAGCCUUCCCCUUUAUCCAUUAAUUAUAUCAAUGCCUUCAAAAUACCUCUCAUUUGCCCCCAGUGUGGGGUGUGAUCCUAGUCAGGGUUUCUUUUUGAAAGAAAAUAUUUUACCAGGCUCAAAAUGGGACUGCAAGGGAUAUAAUCUUUAGAAAGUGAAGGGAUAUCAAAGAUGGCCUUUUCUCCAGUGUAAUGAUUUGGACUUGUAAGAGUCAAUGAUUCACGAGUCCAUAGCUACCGAAACCACUACAUGUCAUUAUGCAUACUACUAAAACUUAGCUAAAUGAUGUGUGGUUCAAUUUUAUAUGUGAGCUCAAAAAUUUGUUCGGUCACCUCAUGUCAUUUCAACAAGAAUCGAGUCAUUUCUGCAAUCAAAACACUUUUAAUCUUCAGAUUGAUUAACCUUUAUCGCAUGUUGGAGUUUGAUCAAAAUAUUUUGUCGAAAAAAAUGUUAAACAUCUGUUGAUUUCAAAACAACAAAGAGACAAAAGCAAGGCAUGUUUCGUUAAAGGAUGAGAUGUGAUCCCAAAACAAAAUGCAGAAUUCCAUAACAAUAUGAUUGACAUUUCAUCACCAUUCUUGAAUCAGCUUUUCUGGCAAUAUCAGUGUUCGGCCAAGCACUUUCGAUCAACAUGUCAUUCUGAGGAUGUUCUGGUGACAACAUGAUUGAUGCCAUCAUCUUUCGCAAACUCAGCUCGAUUCUUGAAACUCUUGUGUCUGUUCAAUUGAAAUGGUCCGGGAACCCUCCAUGAUAUACACAUCUGGUUUGAAUUAUACCACGGUGGUUGCAUGCAAUUUGUCGAAGUCCGGGACACUAAGUCUGAAAUCUAGCAGUGCUGGUAAAUAAACCCACAUGGCAAAGGAAUGUCUAUCUUUGGCAAAGACAUUGGAGUAGUUGAUGCUUGAGCGAGACUUUACUAGGCAAAAUAACUGAGGUUUCUCGAUUGAGAGUCAUCUUCUGAUUCAACUCUCUUCUGGUUCUGGAAUCCAUGGCAGAUCCUUCAAUCUUUCCUCUCUGCAUAGCUUGUUCAAUUCUCCGGCAAAUCCUCACAACAUCAUUUCAAUCUUCCAAUGUUGUUGUGGUUGGUUGAGGAUUGUUAGAAAACUUUCCAACGGCUUGGUAAUCUUGGCAGCGCCCAGAAACUUGUAGUAUCGCCACUACCAACACGUGGAAUCAUGCCUUAUCUCUUCUAUGAGAGAAAAUGAUGAACAUGAAUCUCCUCUAUUUCUUCUUCGAUUCCUCUCGAAUGGUGCAGCAAACAAGCACCAAUAGAGGGAGUUCUGCUAUGUGGAAGUUUCAGUCUUCUUCAUGUUUUUCAGUCUAGGCAUGUCUCUUCUCUCUACUUUUGCGUUUUAAUACUGACACUGUUGGAGGAAAAUCAUAGAUAAUCUGAAACUACUGUAUUCCUUCUUGGAUUUCCCACUUGCGGAUCCACAAACAGAUUCCUGCUGAGAGAGCUCUACGUUGAAGUUUGAUGUCUGCUCAUAUUUUUCAGACCAAGUCUGGCUCUUUAACUUACUAAGAGGUUUUCGUGCUGAAACUGAUGAGAGAAAUAUUGGUAGCAUAUGCAACUUAUAAAUCCCCUCUUGCAUUCUCAAUUUGCAGAGCCAUAAAUGGAUUUUUGUAGAGAGAGCUCUGCCACAUUGAAGUUCAGUGUUUAAUCAUGGUUUUUCAGACCAACAUCUUGUGCUGCUGAACUGGAAUUGAGCUCAUAAUUGGGGUAACUUCAACAGCAGACUAAUGCACCAUGUACAUGAGGCUAGUAGUCAUUUGGUUCCAUUAGAUGAUGUGGAGGUGAUGAACACUUAACAAUGCAACUAGACAAGAAUCAGAGUUGUCAUUAGUUGAUGACUGAAGGCGUUGUUGUUUGUUCAUGACUGAAAAGGAGAGAUACAGCUUCAAUUGGACGUGAACAAGCAGUGUUCCCACAGAAGAAACAUUCUCUUUCCAUUUGAUGCUCAACACUUAUUCGAGCAUAUCUGAGUCCAUCUACUUCCCCUUUGAAGCUCUCAACCUUAAUAUGAUAAUGAGCCUCUAUCUGACACAUUUUUCACUUCCAUCAUCUUUCUUCAAUCACGUGCAGCACAGCUUAUGUGGGGACCUACCUUUCGACCCGGUACAUGCAUGAUAAAUGUAUGAACAUGUAAUCUAUAUGAUGAACUCACCCUUCGAGAGGUGACAAUAUGGCCGUAACUCUUGUAUGAUGGACAAGAAUCGUGAUUUUUGCCCAAACUCUAUAAUGAAAAUUUUCAGAGCAACGACCAAUGUGUCACCCACAAGUCUUGAGUUCAAGAUGCUUCAAGAAGGGUUUGCUGAUGCAAAAACGAAUACACAUACACCUAAGACAAGUUCUAUUCAUUUUACGUGAGACAGGGUAGGUUUGCUAUUUGGUCUCUAAAAGGGGUCUCUUGUUGUCCCGGUGAUUGCCCUCGUAAAGGCAAUAUAGGGGCCCAGUAGGUAAUUGGUUGGCACGUGUCCAACUAUUACCAGUCUAAGCACUCAACGAAGAGUUGGGGUUUACACAAACUUAAACCUUGACUCAAGUCAUAAGGUAAGCUGCUAGUCCCCUACCUAACUUAAAGUUUAAUGUGUGUGCUCAAAAAUAAAUACAGGUGAUGCAUGAGACAAUUCUAUAAAAUGCAUUGAAAUAACAAAAAUAAAAUAAGACAAAACACAAAAAACUUGAACACAUCAAAACACAAAGCUUAGUCCAAUAAUGUCAGAAUCAGAAACAGUACCCUCCCCAGUGGAGUCGCCAUUCUGUCGCACCCCAAAAAAAUCCGGCGCGCGGCAUUGGCUGGCGAUUUUUUCCUCGUUUGUUGUGUUGGCUUUGAAUUUGUUCGUUGGAGUCGCCACCUAGUAAUUCAUUGAGGGCUACUAGGAAACCUGAUGUACUGGUCUUUUCAGAGAUCGCGGGUAAGGGACUGGUUGUGGUUAGGGAAGGUAUUAGCACCCCUAACGCACCCUACCUGAGGUAAGCUGCUUUGUGUUCUGAUGUGAUUUGAAAAUUUAAAAUAUUAAUUAAAUUCUAAGGCUUGAAUAAAUCAGUUAUUAAAUCCCCGAAUAUAUGUAAAAACUUGUUCUUACAUUUUCAUGGAAAAUACAACUUGAUUUUAUUUGUCCUUGAGAUAUUUAACCAUAUUUAAGAAAAUUUAAAAUAUUAAUUAAAUUCUAAGGCUUGAAUAAAUCAGUUAUUAAAUCCCCGAAUAUAUGUAAAAAACUUGUUCUUACAUUUUCGUGGAAAAUACAACUUAAUUUUAUUUGUCCUUAAGAUAUUUAACCAUAUUUAAAUUAACAAUUAAUUCCUUUUGUUUUUUUUAUAAUUCAAUAAUAUAAAUAAAAAAUGCAAACACACACACAACUUUCUUUUUAUUAUUCAUUUUUUUCUUUUCUUUUUUCUUUUCUUUUCUUUUCCUUUACAUCCACAAAAUACAAAUAAUAAAAAUUCAAAAUUACAGAAAAGACAUUACACAAAUAAAAAAUUACAUAACAGCCCCUAAAAAAUCUAGGAAGCUGCUGGGAAGGCUUCUGGACCACAAAAACACUGGCGGCACGUCUCCUCCACGCGCCGCCACCACUAGCGGCGCGUCUCCUCCACGCGCCGCCGUGAAAACGACCGGAAAACAGGGGGGGUCUGUAACAGCCUCCUCCCCUAUUCCCUUCCUUGCCGGCGGUAGGAAACGUCACCUGCAAAGCCAAACACAAGCAGUCGUUUUCAAAUUUUUUUACUCCACGAUUUACGAGCCAUGAAAGUAUGAAAUAUUAAGGCAAAAGGAGGCUUUUAAAGCGCUUUGAAUUUCCUUAGAUUUCUAAAAAAAAUUUGUCCCUCCUUCUUGCGAUUUACGAGUCGCAAACUCUUGAAAUACUAAGGGAAAAAUGAGCUUUCAAAGCACAUGGAAUCUCCUUGGAUUUCUAUCCAAAUAAAUUUUAUUUGAAUCAAACCUAGGAAAAUUGAUGGGAUUAGAAAACACCAACACCAUAGCAAUUAUAGAGCAAACCAAACAUCAAGCAGCUUACCUUAGGUAGGGCGUACUAGGGGUGCUAAUACCUUCCCUUUACGUAACCAGUCCCUUGCCUUAGAAUCUCUGAAAGACCAGUUAGGGUUUAUGUCGCACCCUAAAAAAUCCAAUGCGGCAUCGGAUGGCGAUUUUUCGUUUUUGUUUUGCUGAUUUGGUUCUUUGGAGUCGCCACCUAGUAUUUUGGUCACUAGGAACCCUAACUGGUCUUUCAGAGGUAUUGUUUCUGACAAUAUUGGACUAAGCUUUGUAUAUUUGAUGUGUUUAAGUUUUUGUUUUUUUGUCUACUUUUUGUUAAUGUAUUUUCCAAGCAUUUUAUAGAAUUGUUUCAUGCAUCACUUGUUUUUAUUUUUGAAAGCACACACAACGUUGGAUCCUACUGCUCAACAGGACCCAAUAGUAUUGGGUUUAGCUCAGCCAGACCCAAAAUACUUCUAAAGGGAUGUGGGUCUAGCUACCCAGUAAGACCCAACGAUCUUGAGUCUAGGUGGGGAGCUGGACCCAAUAUCCUUGGGUCUGGCUAUGCACCCAUACCCAAAGAUAUUAUUAUUUGUAUUAUAAAUAUUAAAAAAUUUAUUAUUUGUAUUAUAAAUUUUUUGUAUAUAAUUAAAAGCAUUAAUGUAAAAAAUUGUAUUAUUGGUAUUAUAAAUAAUAUUAUAAUUAACAGUAUUAAAAUUAAAAAAUAGUAUUAUUCAUGUUAUAAAUAUUAUUAUUUUUACUAUAAUGAAUAGUAUUACUAUUAAAAAUAGUAUUAUUUUGUUAUAAAUACUGUAGAGCCCUGGGAGGCAUUCCUCUGCUAUGUUUUUUUGUCAAGAAUUUCGGUUGGGGGCGUUGCCUCCUCAACUAUGAUUUUUGUAAGAAUUACAGCUAGAGGCAUUGCCUCUUCUGUUAAAAGCUAUGGGGCUGGCUUGGCAGCUAGAGUCAACGCUCUUGGGUCUGGCCAAAAACACUUCGAAAAUAAGCCAUUAGUGUUGGGUUCUGUUGCCCAGCAUGGCCCAAUAAUGUUUGGUUUGGCUAAGUUAGACCCAAAACACUUUAAAACGGGGCUAGAUCUGGCUGGGCAAUAGGAUUCAAUGUCCUUAGGUCUGGUUGUGCAGCCAUAUCUAAGAAUAUUAUUAUUUGUAUUAUAAAUAUUUUAAAUUUUAUUAUAAUUAAUAUUAAAAUAUUAUUAUUUGUAUUAUAAAUAUUGUUUUUUAUUAUAAUUAAAAGUAUUAAUUUUUAAAAAUAGUAUUAUUUGGGUUAUAAAUAUUAUUUUUAUUUUUAUAAUAAUUAACAGUAUUAAUAUCAAAAAUAUUGUUACUUGUGUUAUAAAUAAUAUUAUUUUUAUUAUAAUUAAUAGUAUUAAUAUUAAAAAUAGUAUUAUCUAUGUUAUAAAUAUCAUAAGAACUUAAGUCAAAUGAGUUUAAUAUUAUUUUUAAUAUUAUAAAUAAUUAACAGUAUUAAUAUCAAAAAUAUUAUGGUCCCAGCUGGGACAUGGUAUAUCCUCCAAUGGUACAGUCGGAGGAUGGCAUGUGCGGUGGUAUAAGCGGUGUCACCGGACAUAAACGCAGAUUCUCCGAUAUGAUGCUCUGAAGGUAAUUUAGUUUUGCAAAAUCUGACUCUUCUAUCAAGCGGUCUCCAACUUGAGCGUCCAGUUCUGUUUUAGCUUUCCUUAGCACGUCUGGAUGGUUGAGUAGAUUGGCUAAUGCCCAUUCCAUAGAUGUAGCAGCAGUCUCUGUUCCCCCAAGCAACAACACCUACACAAAAUAUUUAGUGAAUUAAACUCAAGCCAGCUCCGACCCGAAAGCUAAGAUGAGAAGGGUUUACCUGCACAAAAUACUCAUAUUUCUUUGAAGUAUUUAGUGAGACUUGCAAGUAUGCUAGUAGUUGUUGCACCAAAUUCAUCAUAUAGAAAACGUAGAUUCAUCUACAUUAUACAAAGGCUUAAAUCAAGAGAAAGAUGCCCACCUGCGAUGAACAAGUUUGUUAUCUGAAAAUGGCUUGGAAUCUCCAUGGCAAUAUUUUUUUUGUCUUUUUUUCCCAUUAUUUGGCAUGCCAAUAUUUUUUUUCUCCUUUUUUCUCCAUUAUCUCCAUGCCAAUAUUUUUUUUCUCCCAUUAUUUGGCGCAUGCCAAUAAUGUUUUUCUCUUUUUCUCCCAUUUUUUGUCCUUAUCUUUCUCUUUCCUUAAUUUGGCUAAUUUAAAAACUGAAAUGAAAAAACACAAGGAAAACUAUCUAUCACGUGUUUGCACACGUGUCUUCAUCUAAUGGCGAUGCAUGUCAUGUCAUGCUACCAUCGAUGAUGAUCUUUAUUUUGUUGAUUUUAUCUUGUCAAAAAAAAUUUAUUAGUUUAAUACGUUGGAUUAGGUCGGGUUGAGAAAAAUACAUGAUGAAUUGUUUAAUACGUUGACACAAAAUUUGAUGAAGCGGUGGAGAGAAAAACAGGUGGCUUUAGGCAUAAUUUGUGGUUUUGUUUCCCUUUUUAGUGAAUGAAACUCUAAGAAAUUGAAAGGGGAGAUGAUACCAAAAGAUCAAACCGUAAGAAAAAUUGAGUGAAUCAAAACAAAAACAUCAUUUUUCCUUAACAAGUUAUGAUUGAAUCAACAUAAAAAGCGUUAGGUUUGACUAACCAGAACAUGGCCUUUGAUUAUGUCAUCAGUGUAGUAUUCAGGCUGUUCUUCUUGCAAAGCGAGAAACCGGUUUAUCAUAGUGUUUCUGUCCCUGUCAUCUCGAUGCUCAUCAACCAGUCCCUGUAAGAACACAUCCAUCUUCUUACUUAGUCUAUCCAACUUCUUCAAGUGGCCCCUAAUAUCAACCCACUGCAACAUUGGAAUCAGAUGCCCCACAUUUAUCAUGGAAAUAUAUGCAAAAAACACUUCCAAGAUCUCCCUCAAAAUCCUGGCCUCUUCAAUUUCCUUAACAUCUACGCAGAGGGAUGCAAAUACAGGGAAUAAGAUGGUUUAUGAACUCCAUCCUGUGAUGACACUCACAUCCAGUAAUCCUACUUGCAUGCAGGGAUUAUGAUGGGAAAGUUACUCCUGAGGAGGUGGCAGCUGCUGCGAUGUACUUGAAGGAUACAUCAGGCAAGGAAGGCAUCCAAGAACUCAUCAGCUGCUGCGAUGUACUUGAAGGAUGUAUCAUUUUGAAUGUGUCUGCAUGUUUCAACAUUCAUCACUUCUUAUUAGAGGAUUAAUGCAUUUGUUCUCUUGAGCUCAGCUCCUACAUGCAAACUGGUUUUGGUUCUAAGAAGCCACAUCUUAUUUUGCUGAAUUAUAGAAGACAUCUUAUCAUCUUUCCUCUUUUUACCAUGCCACAUGAAAAAAUAUUUCUUCGCCGCUAAAGCAAACAAGUCAUACCUCUUAUUUACCAAGAACCUAGUCAACAGAUAAUUUUCUCAAUCCAAUUGGGUGUUUUGAGUUGCUUAUGAAAAUCUAUCAAGGGUCAGAAAAUUAACAUGAUGCUUUUCUUCUACCUUGUAGUUUUUCUCUGCUUCUUGUCAUUUUGUUGAGCAUUUGCUAAAUUUAGUAUUUUCUUCUUUUUUACCUUGUAUAACUGAUGCCUAGAUCAUUUUGAAUCGAACAGAUGGAAAGAUUCUUGUAGAAGACAAUGUCAAAUUAGGCAGUUGGACGGAAGAUGCCAAAGCAACUGAAGAGAGGGAGAUGUAAAACAAUUUUCCUUCAAAUUCUUUCCUGCUGUUGUCUGGAUAGUACCCUACCUAACGAAUAGUUUAUUUAACGAUAAAAUGGCAUGCCAUCUAAUGUGAUUAGGACCCAUAUCUGUUAGGGUCAUAUAUAUACAAGUAACCUUGGUUUUCCCAGCUCAUUGAUAAAGCUGGACAUGCUUGCUAGUGCUGUAAAAGUGAAUUCUGAUGAAUAUAUAAAUGAUAUAGGUACACAGUACAGAACAAGAAAUCGAUAUAUCUCGUGCCUUUGGAAAUAAAAUGCUCUGUCAAGUUUAUUCUUCAGAUUGAGAAAUCAUGCUUUUGCAUAUGGUGUUGAUCUAGUUGAAUUAGGUGGAUGUGUAAUCAAGUUUAUGAUUGAGGCAAACCACAUCAGCUAAAUAAGAUGCAUUUUCAAGUUUUAAGGCCAUGCAUAUGUAGGCUUUCACACCUUUGAAUCUUUGGUUUCAUGGAACUUCAUUGCAAGUUCUGCUGCAAAUUCCGUAAUAUUCUUAUCAGAGCUUCCGCCUUCAUCCACUGCUGUUUUGGCCAGUUUCAUCCAUUUCUCAGAGUUCCUUCUCAUCUCAUUCCCUCUUAAUUUCACCUUCCAUGACUUCCCUUAUACACCCUUCUACCUCUUCUUUAGUGACAAUCCCCUUUUCAUUUUCAUUCACUCUAUAUAACCCCUAGAUGCCAAACAUCGGCAAUGCACUUUGCAUUUGUUGGUUGAUCAGUCCACUCUGGCAUUGCCACCAUUGGCACUCCUAAGCUCAACGCCUCGAGUGUUGAGUUCCACCCACAAUGAGUCAUGAAGCAACCAACGACGGACUUGUGAGCCAGAACCUCUAGCUGCGGGCUCCAGGUCACAAGCAGAGAUUUCUUUGAUGACUCCUCCACAAAGUUGCUUGGAAGUUUUUUCCUUUCCGAUUCUCUGACUACCUACAGGAAGCAGCAGGAACUCCUCUUUAGGCCCCAAGCAAUUUCUGCCAUUUGCUCCUCUCCAAGUGCAGCCAUGCUUCCAAAUGACACAUAAACCACUAAGCCAGUUUCCUUUGAAUAUAGCCACUCAUUGCACCCGUCCGGAUUGGGAUUGAAGAGGCUGAGACCGUACUCUUUAUCGUCCUCCAGCUGCUUGUCCAAGUAAAAUGAUGGGAUCAUUGGUCCUAUUGGCUUUAUUGACCUUUGGCUUGCCAACCAGUUUACCGCCUGAUGGAAAUCAACAAAAUUUUGAGUGCCACUGAAGUAAAAGGAGCAUACUUUGAAAUAUGGUAUCGUCUUGUGAGCAAAGAAAAGAGAUUGUAAGUAGGAAUUUGAAGCAUUGCUGCUCUCGUUUAUGUUGCUUUGCUUGUCAAUCAUUUGUUGACUGCUUGCUUGUUUGAUCGCACUUAUUUUCAAGUAUUAUUUGUCAUAAUACUGGAAAACUUUGUGGACUUUUGUUGAAACUCAAGGUAACUGCUGAGCCACUUUAUGUGAGGUUUGCUCAAUAAGUAAGCAUAGAGGCCCAUUCCUCCUCGUGUCUGGUCUUCUUUGUCCAGCUCUCAAUUAUGUACUCAUAUUUGACUAGAAAUAGAAUCACUACAAGGCUGCUGGCAUGGUAUCUUCAUAUUUACACGAAAACAUUGUUUUUCAUGGGCUUUUCUACCCAGUUCUCAGUAAACUUUGUGGACUUUUGUUGAAACUCAAGGAAAUAGCUAUUUUCAAGGUUUACAUGGAAAUAGCUUGACUCAUAGCUUGAUCUGGGCUAGUUUUCAAGUUGAAUUGAAACGAACUUUAGCAUAAAUGGCUCGGUUGAAUUCACACGCGAUAAUCU
rnacentral:lncRNA from 1 species